rnacentral:rRNA from 1 species
GCUGGCGGCGUGCCUAACACAUGCAAGUCGAACGAGAAAGUGGAGCAAUCCAUGAGUAAAGUGGCGACCGGGUGAGUAACACGUGACUAACCUACCUCCGAGUGGGGAAUAACUCCGGGAAACCGGGGCUAAUACCGCAUAACAUCGCAAGAUCAAAGCAGCAAUGCGCUUGGAGAGGGGGUCGCGGCUGAUUAGCUAGUUGGCGGGGUGACGGCCCACCAAGGCGAAGAUCGGUAUCCGGCCUGAGAGGGCGCACGGACACACUGGAACUGAAACACGGUCCAGACUCCUACGGGAGGCAGCAGUGGGGAAUUUUGCGCAAUGGGGGAAACCCUGACGCAGCAACGCCGCGUGGAGGAUGAAGCCCUUCGGGGCGUAAACUCCUUUCGACUCGGAUGAUAAUGACGGUACGAGUGGAAGAAGCACCGGCUAACUCUGUGCCAGCAGCCGCGGUAAUACAGAGGGUGC